ACGAGUUUGAUCAUGGCUCAGAGUGAACGCUGGCGGCGUGCUUAACACAUGCAAGUCGAACGGUAACAGAGACUUCGGUCUGCUGACGAGUGGCGCACGGGUGCGUAACGCGUAUGCAAUUACCCCUAACUAGAGGAUAGCCUUUCGAAAGGAAGAAUAAUACUCCAUAAUAUUUCUCUAUGGCAUCAUAGAGUUCUUAAAGCUUUGGCGGUUAGGGAUAGGCAUGCGUUCUAUUAGUUAGUUGGUGAGGUAACGGCUCACCAAGACCUCGAUAGAUAGGGGGCCUGAGAGGGUUAUCCCCCACACUGGUACUGAGACACGGACCAGACUCCUACGGGAGGCAGCAGUGAGGAAUAUUGGUCAAUGGACGAAAGUCUGAACCAGCCAUGCCGCGUGCAGGAUGACGGCCCUAUGGGUUGUAAACUGCUUUUAUAUAGGAAGAAACCCCUUUACGUGUAGAGGGCUGACGGUACUAUACGAAUAAGGACCGGCUAACUCCGUG
rnacentral:rRNA from 1 species